AGUGUUACCAAGCAGCGACUUCCAGGUCUGAAAAGUAGAAGCCAAUGCUGAAGAGCCUUAAAGCUGCAUUCUAUCUCAUUUCCAGCAGGGGGCGACUCCAUUGGUUCCAAAAAAUAGUCUGUUUCUAUGAGAAAAUGACCUUACGUCUCACUU